CAUAGGUUCUUCGGAUUAAAAGGGAAGUUGCUUGCGGCACGCGGUCCCGCCACUGUAACGGCCGAGACGCCCAUUCACUUAACGGGAAGGAUGGAACGUCGCCUGAGGUCAGAAGUCAGGAUACCUGCCUAUGGAAAAA
rnacentral:ncRNA from 1 species